rnacentral:rRNA from 1 species
UACGUAGGGGGCAAGCGUUGUCCGGAUUUAUUGGGCGUAAAGAGUGUGUAGGCGGCUUUACAGGUCCGUUGUGAAAACUCGAGGCUCAACCUCGAGACGCCGGUGGAAACCGUAAGGCUAGAGUCCGGAAGAGGAGAGUGGAAUUCCUGGUGUAGCGGUGAAAUGCGCAGAUAUCAGGAAGAACACCCGUGGCGAAGGCGGCUCUCUGGGACGGUACUGACGCUGAGACGCGAAAGCGUGGGGAGCGAACAGG